rnacentral:rRNA from 1 species
AACGAACGCUGGCGGCAUGCCUAAUACACGCAAGUCGAACGAGAUCUUCGGAUCUAGUGGCGCACGGGUGCGUAACGCGUGGGAAUCUGCCCUUGGGUUCGGAAUAACUUCGGGAAACUGAAGCUAAUACCGGAUGAUGACGUAAGUCCAAAGAUUUAUCGCCCAGGGAUGAUCCCGCGUAGGAUUAGCUAGUUGGUGGGGUAAAGGCCCACCAAGGCGACGAUCCUUAGCUGGUCUGAGAGGAUGAUCAGCCACACUGGGACAGAGACACGGCCCAGACUCCUACGGGAGGCAGCAGUAGGGAAUAUUGGACAAUGGGGGAAACCCUGAUCCAGCAAUGCCGCGUGAGCGAUGAAGGCCUUAGGGUUGUAAAGCUCUUUUACCCGAGAUGAUAAUGACAGUAUCGGGAGAAUAAGCCCCGGCUAACUCCGUGCCAGCCGCCGCGGUAA